rnacentral:rRNA from 1 species
AGUGAACGCUGGCGGUAGGCCUAACACAUGCCAGUCGAACGGCAGCACAGUAAGAGCUUGCUCUUACGGGUGGCGAGUGGCGGACGGGUGAGGAAUACAUCGGAAUCUACUUUUUCGUGGGGGAUAACGUAGGGAAACUUACGCUAAUACCGCAUACGACCUACGGGUGAAAGCAGGGGAUCUUCGGACCUUGCGCGAUUGAAUGAGCCGAUGUCGGAUUAGCUAGUUGGCGGGGUAAAGGCCCACCAAGGCGACGAUCCGUAGCUGGUCUGAGAGGAUGAUCAGCCACACUGGAACUGAGACACGGUCCACUCCUACGGGAGGCAGCAGUGGGGAAUAUUGGACAAUGGGCGCAAGCCUGAUCCAGCCAUACCGCGUGGGUGAAGAAGGCCUUCGGGUUGUAAAGCCCUUUUGUUGGGAAAGAAAAGCAGCAGGUUAAUACCCCGCUGUUCUGACGGUACCCAAAGAAUAAGCACCGGCUAACUUCGUG